rnacentral:rRNA from 1 species
CCUACGGGUGGCAGCAGUGAGGAAUAUUGGUCAAUGGUCGGGAGACUGAACCAGCCAAGCCGCGUGAGGGAUGACGGUACAGAGUAUCGUAAACCUCUUUUGUCAGGGAACAAAGGCGGGGACGCGUCCCCGUAUGAGUGUACCUGAAGAAAAAGCAUCGGCUAACUACGUGCCAGCAGCCGCGGUAAUACGGAGGGGGCAAGCGUUAUCCGGAUUUAUUGGGUGUAAAGGGAGCGUAGACGGCGAUGCAAGUCUGAAGUGAAAGGCUGGGGCCCAACCCUCGGACUGCAUUGGAAACUGGAAGGCUGGAGUGCAGGAGAGGUAAGUGGAAUUCCUGGUGUAGCGGUGAAAUGCGUAGAUAUUAGGAGGAACACCAGUGGCGAAGGCGGCUUACUGGACUGUAACUGACGUUGAGGCUCGAAAGCGUGGGGAGCAAACAGGAUUAGAUACCCCAGUAGUC